rnacentral:lncRNA from 1 species
GUGAAGUGAUGAAUAGGGAUUCUAAAUGAAAAUAUGUGGUGCGGGUUCAUUAUGAUUGCAAUGAUCUUCAAUUAUAACUAGAGCUGAGUUACACAUGCUAUAUUGAACUAGGACUACCGAGAUGAAUGUCUCACUUGUGGUCCUAUUUAGUUUGUAGAUUUAAGAAUAGAGUGUUCCCCAGGUGGCAGAGAACUGUUUUCAAAGCCUGUCUGAUGCCUUCUGCCGAUGAUUGGGCAUGAACACGUAUCAGCAGUUGAAACGCUGAUGGCAGUAGAUCUUUUUUCCCUUAUAGUUUCAGUAGGUAUUAGGAUUUGAUGGGUAUACUUAAUAACUCUUGAGAAUAUGUUGUUUGGUUUUAUCUGCGCAGCAACUGAAGUAAAUAUAUCAAAAUUUUGCUGUACCUUCUGUCUAUACACUACAAGGAGGAUAUUCCUACUUUUUGAGGUUUCAGGAUUCAAUAUAUCCAUUGUCAUAUCCAUUUUCAGUAACAUGGCAAUCUUGUGGAUCAUCACAUAUAACUCCACAUCUUUUCUGGCUUUUGGUAGUUUCUACUCAAUCCAAACUCAAAACUUGCUAAACUUGUCAUUCUUAUUCAAAAAAAAGAAAGAAAAAACUUAUUCAACUUGUCAUUUGUUUAAGAUAAAAACUGCUGACUUCCAAUACUGUGUACAAUUGCAGAAUAUAGAACUGUCUCAGGUGUUGCUGGACCACUUGUUAUUCUCGACAAAGUUAAG